UAGAGUGUUAAAACUCCCAACCCUUUGUGAACGUACCACUGUUGCUUCGGCGGCAGGCCGAGCCCCUUUUGGGGGUGGCGCUACCCUGUAGCGCCUACCCUCGAUGUCCGGGUGACGCCUCCGCCGGCAGCCAGCAAACUCUGUUUUAUUUGGAACUCUGAAUGCAAACUUAAUAAGUUA
rnacentral:misc_RNA from 1 species